rfam:Dipodomys ordii contig_39910, whole genome shotgun sequence.
GGUGGCUCAAUGGUAGAGCGCUUGCCUUGAUGCAUGAGGCCCUGGGUUCGAUUCCUUAGCACCA